rnacentral:rRNA from 1 species
UACAGAGGUCUCAAGCGUUGUUCGGAUUCAUUGGGCGUAAAGGGUGCGUAGGCGGCGCGGUAAGUCGGGUGUGAAAUUUCGAGGCUUAACUUCGAAACUGCAUUCGAUACUACCGUGCUUGAGGACUGGAGAGGAGACUGGAAUUUACGGUGUAGCGGUGAAAUGCGUAGAUAUCGUAAGGAAGACCAGUGGCGAAGGCGGGUCUCUGGACAGUUCCUGACGCUGAGGCACGAAGGCCAGGGGAGCAAACGGGG